rnacentral:rRNA from 1 species
AGAGUUUGAUCCUGGCUCAGGAUGAACGCUAGCGGCAGGCCUAACACAUGCAAGUCGAGGGGUAACAUGAAGUGCUUGCACUUUGAUGACGACCGGCGCACGGGUGCGCACCGCGUAUGCUACCUUUUACUGGAGAAUAGCCUUUAGAAAUGAAGAUUAAUACUUCAAUUGUACCUUUUGUAGCAUUACGAGAUGGUUAAAGACUUCGGUCGGUAAAAGAUGGCCAUGCGUCCCAUUAGUUAGUUGGCGAGGUAACGGCUCACCAAGACAGCGAUGGGUAGGGGCCCUGAGAGGGGGAUCCCCCACACUGGUACUGAGACACGGACCAGACUCCUACGGGAGGCAGCAGUGAGGAAUAUUGGACAAUGGAGGGGACUCUGAUCCAGCCAUGCCGCGUGCAGGAAGACGGCCCUAUGGGUUGUAAACUGCUUUUAUACGGGAAGAAAAACAGCUACGUGUAGUUGACUGACGGUACCGUAAGAAUAAGGACCGGCUAACUCCGUGCCAGCAGCCGCGGUAAUACGGAGGGUCCGAGCGUUAUCCGGAAUUAUUGGGUUUAAAGGGUCCGUAGGCGGGCCAUUAAGUCAGGGGUGAAAGUCUGCGGCUCAACCGUAGAAUUGCCUUUGAUACUGGUGGUCUUGAGUUAUGGUGAAGUGGCUGGAAUAUGUAGUGUAGCGGUGAAAUGCAUAGAUAUUACAUAGAACACCGAUUGCGAAGGCAGGUCACUAACCAUAUACUGACGCUGAUGGACGAAAGCGUGGGGAGCGAACAGGAUUAGAUACCCUGGUAGUCCACGCCGUAAACGAUGGAUACUAGCUGUCCGGAUCCUUGAGAUCUGGGCGGCCAAGCGAAAGUGAUAAGUAUCCCACCUGGGGACAUGUGGUUUAAUUCGAUGAUACGCGAGGAACCUUACCAGGGCUUAAAUGCAUAUUGACAGGGUCAGAGAUGACUUUUCCUUCGGGCAAUUUGCAAGGUGCUGCAUGGUUGUCGUCAGCUCGUGCCGUGAGGUGUCAGGUUAAGUCCUAUAACGAGCGCAACCCCUGCCGUUAGUUGCCAGCAAGUAAAGUUGGGGACUCUAACGGGACUGCCGGUGCAAACCGUGAGGAAGGUGGGGAUGACGUCAAAUCAUCACGGUCCUUACGUCCUGGGCUACACACGUGCUACAAUGGCCGGGACAGAGAGCAGCCACUUUGCAAGGCGGAGCGAAUCUAUAAAACCGGUCACAGUUCGGAUCGGGGUCUGCAACUCGACCCCGUGAAGCUGGAAUCGCUAGUAAUCGGAUAUCAGCCAUGAUCCGGUGAAUACGUUCCCGGGCCUUGUACACACCGCCCGUCAAGCCAUGGAAGCCGGGAGUGCCUGAAGUCCGUCACCGCAAGGAGCGGCCUAGGGCAAGAUCGGUAACUAGGGCUAAGUCGAAACAAGGUAGCC